AUCUUUGCGCUUGGGGCAAUGACGCAGCUAGUGAUGGUCUAACCGAGGCGCGUCAAUUGCUGGUUGAGAACUACUUCCAAACCCCCUCGUAGGCCUGGGUUCUCUGAAAGGGCUCCCUUUGGGGUAAAGCC